rnacentral:lncRNA from 1 species
UGGCCUUCUUGGCCGGUAACGGGGACUACGUGAAAGGUGUUGUUGGGUUAGCCAAGGGGCUGCGGAAGGUGAAAUCCGCUUACCCGCUUGUGGUGGCGGUGUUACCGGACGUGCCGGUGGAGCACCGCCGAGAACUGGAAUCCCAGGGGUGCAUCGUCAGAGAGAUUGAGCCGGUUUACCCACCCGAGAACCAGACCCAGUUCGCCAUGGCCUAUUACGUUAUCAAUUAUUCAAAGCUCCGUAUCUGGGAGGUACGUGAUAGUACUUUCUCAUUACCUCUAUCACUAUUUUUGUCAUUUUGCAUGAAUCUUUGCAUGAUUUGUAGAUUUACAUGCCAUUUUUGUAUGAAUCAGUUCGUGGAGUACAGUAAGAUGAUAUACUUGGAUGGGGAUAUUCAAGUCUACGAUAACAUUGACCACCUCUUUGAGCUACCAGACGGACAUUUCUAUGCAGUGAUGGACUGUUUCUGUGAGAAAACAUGGAGUCACACGCCACAGUACAAGAUUGGAUACUGCCAACAGUGUCCGGAAAAGGUUCAGUGGCCAGCGGAGCUGGGUCAGCCGCCUUCACUUUACUUCAACGCAGGCAUGUUCGUGUUUGAGCCCAGCCUCUCCACCUAUGAAGAUCUCUUGGAAACCCUCAGGAUCACCCCUGCAACCCCUUUUGCAGAGCAGGUAAACACAUAAGCUUUUGCUGAUGAUAUUCUUCCAACAUAAUCCGGUUGUGGUUCUGGGAUUUUGUUAUUUAGGAAAAUGUGUAUGUGUUUUUGGCAGGAUUUCUUGAAUAUGUACUUCAGCGAUGUAUAUAAGCCUAUUCCUCUGGUCUACAAUCUUGUCCUUGCCAUGCUGUGGCGGCAUCCUGAGAAUGUAGAGCUUGAUAAAGUGAAAGUUGUUCACUACUGUGCAGCGGUGAGUACCAAAGAAGAUUGAUUUUGGGAGAUUAAUUCGCAAGUUAUAACCUGUGGUGGUUAUGUAUACUAAUACAAAUAUUUGUGAACGGUAUACCAGGGGUCGAAGCCAUGGAGGUACACAGGGAAGGAGGACAACAUGCAGAGAGAGGACAUUAAGAUGCUGGUAAACAAAUGGUGGGAGAUAUACAAUGACAAGUCAUUGGAUUACAAGAAGACGAGGAUGAUGGCGAAUGAUUACAGCAGUGUUUUGCCGGGGGAGCAGGUGAAUUUGGAGCCGUUCAUUGCAGCUCUUUCCGAGGUGGGGCAUGUUGAAUUUGUGAGAGCCCCUUCAGCAGCCUAGAAGAGGCCAGUACUCUCGUGGAGAAGAGGAUCCAAGGGGCAUGCAAGCAGAUGACCGGUGAAUUUCCAUUUUCGAGAUGAAAAUGUUGGUUAUUUUUGUGGUUUGGGGGUUUGUCACGGUUAGUGAAUUUUUACGUUGUUCACUUGUAAUAUCCUUAAUGAUUGCCCACUACAAGGCAAAUUACUUCCAGUCAUACAUAAAAUCUCAAAGACACUCUGUUUUAUCUGCUGUUGAACUCUGUUUUUUUUUUUUUUUUUGCUCUUUUUCUCCCUCCUUUUUCUUUUUAUUUAUUUAUUUUCUUUGGGAAAUGGAAUUGAAAUACGUGGGACAAGAAUCGUAUAGGCUUAUUUGAGACAACAAAACAUCCACCCAGUCCCAGUCGCGGACCUGUUAUGGUGAAGGCAAGUUGAUUAAGGACGGUACAGCAGGGCACUUAAUUAUGGCUAGGUUAUAUCCCAACUUGUGGGUAGAAAAAAAAGGGUAAUAUUAAAAUGAGAACCAAUUUAAAAAGCAUUUUUGAAUUUAAUUUAAUUUUAAUUUAUUUGUUAUUUAUAAUUUUGAAGUUAAUUUUAACUUAUUUAUUAAGAGGAAAAAUUAUACUUAUAAGAAGGAUUAAAUGUACAUAAAAAAAAAUAUUCGUAUGUGAAAAGAAAAGAAAUAUUGAAAAAUAGUAAGAAAACUUUAUUUUAGGCAUAACUAAUGAUUGGUUGAAAGUUUUCAUUAUCAUUCUCAUUUGACAUUUCUUUUUACCAUAUAAGUGAUUUGAUUUGAAUGGAAAGUUGGAUACUAGAUCUUUAAGGAUAAGGAAGGAGAUUAAUUUAAUCAGAUUUCUUUUUAUCUCUUUUACUUUUUUAAAUUAAAAGAAAAUAAAAAAAAUAGAGAGAAAAAAAUAAAAGAAAUAAAAAAUAGAUUUAAAAUUAAUAAAUUAUUUUUAUAUAUAUUUUAAAACUCAUUUCACUUAUUUCCUAUAUAAUUUUAAAAUAUAUAAAUUAUUAAUUAAUUUUAAUUAUAUUUAUUUUUUUUAUAAUGAAACUAAAAAUUAAAAAAAAUAUUAUAUAUAAGGGUGGAGGUUAAUUUAAUUACAUCUUUUCUUAAUUUAUUUUAAAUUUUUAUCUGCUUAGUUUUAAUAUUGAGGGAAAAUACUAAAAAAAGAAAAGAAAAAAUAAAAAAAUAAAAAAGAAAAUUAGAAAAUAAUUUUAAAAUUAAUAAAUUAUUUUUAUGUGUUUUUUCAAAGUUAUUUCACAUGUUUCUCUAUGUAAUAUAAGGAUUAAAUAAAUUUUAAAUAUUUUAAAUUUAAUUAUAAUUGAUUUUUUUAUAUAACAAAAUUAAAUAUAAAAAAUCAUUUUUCUUAAUAUUUUAUUUUAUUUUUAUUGUUUUUUGUUUAGUAUGCAGAAGCUCUCAUUCCACUUGUGUCGGCAAAAACAUCAUUGUAAAUAUAUUAAAAGAAAAACAUAAAAAAUAAAGCAAAUCACGUAAAAGGUACACAAAGUUUUAAUAUGAUUUGAUCAAUUAUGACUAUUUUCACCAAUGAGAAAGAACAUUUUAUCAUAUGAUAGAAAAUAUUAUAAAGAACAAAAAUCUAAAAAAAUACAAUUACGAGAUCUCUAUCUUAAAAUAUGAGCCGUUUUACUUCAUUAAAUGUUUUUUUUUUUCAUCACAUUUACUUCCCAGUAAACCCCCUUUCUCUACUAGAUGUAUGUCGUUCUUUCUCAUAUUUUUAUUCCAUCUCUCUCAUAACUUUUUUUUAAAAUAAAAUAUUUAUAAAGAUAUUUCUAUUAACUUCGUAAGAAUCUAAUUAUUAUCACAUAUAAAUUAAAAAAUAUUAUAUAUAAUAUUUCUUUUACAAAUAUAUUCCCCAUCACUUUCCCGCCAAACAUAGGAUAAAUGAUGCUCUUUAUGUCCUAAUCUUUCCAAACUUUCAAGUAUUCUUUUACUUAGAAAUUACAAAUUUGAUACAAAUUGGGCCACCAUUUGAGAGUCCAAUCCCUCCAGCCAGAUUUAUAGGUGAGUUUAACUUGAAUUGAAGAAGUAGGAAUGUAAAAAUACUGGGAUUGACAUGAAUUCAAGAUCAGAAAACCCCCGAAAGCCAAAUCCAGCACAUUAUUGAUUUAUUUUUAUUUUAUUAUAAUAUAAAAAACAUAAAUUAUAAAAAAACAUAAAUUAUAAAAAAACACUAACUUUCUUAAUUUUUAAUUACAUUUUAAUUAUUAAAAUAUCUUUAAUAGUUAUAGUUAAAGUUUGAGCUUAUGAAUAAUUAUUUAUGUUAAAAUAAUAAUUAAUAAUUUACAGUUUUGACACCUUUUUGUUUUUUGACUUGAAGAAAAAAAAUAGUAGUAACUUAUAUAAAAAAUGAAAAAUUUUAUUAAAAAAAAUUAAACUUAUUUCAUGUCUUUAAAAAAUUACUUUUAGAAAUGUAAGUUAAAUAGAUUUUAAAAACUAUAAUUUUUCUUUAAUAUAAGUUGUUAUUUUUUAUAGGUUGAAUAUAACAUGAAAUAGGACAAGAUAAUAUAUCAUAUCUCAUUUUUUAUUGGUAAUAUUAGGGGUGCAACUUGUACGGGUUGGUUUGACCCAAUUGGAACCCAAUCCAAUGUUUGGGUGAACUUAGGCAAAUAUUUCCAUUACUUGAGUUAAACUUGAAUUAAGUUUUUUCAACUCGAAUUCAAUUUGAAUUGGAUCCAAGCUAAGGUUUAAAAAACUCGAGGAUAACUCGAACUUGAUUUAAUAUUUUUAUGAUAUUUAUAAUGUUAAUGUUUAUUAUUUUAAAUGAUAAUAUUCAUUUUCUUUUUAAUUUUGGAAGAAAAAAAUAUCAAAUUAUAAUUAUAUCACACAGUUAUUACUUUUUAAAAAAGAUAUAUAAGUUUAUUUUUACUUUUUUUUAUUAUCUUGAAAUUUUGUGCUAUUUAUUAUUUAAAUUUUGAUAUAAAUAUAUAGAAAAUAAGUUUUUUUAAAAACUAUUAUAGAUGAAUUUUAAAUCUUUCAGCACAAUGAAUCCAAAUAAUUUGAGUCUAACUCAAUCAACUCGAGUUUAACCCAAUCAACUCGAUCAACUUGAGAUCAACUUGAAUUUAGAAAAUAAGGUUAGGCUAGGCUUGGGUUAAGUACUUUGGGUUAGAGGACGAGUUAUGUUAACCUUAACUUGAUUCUUUCUUAAUUUGUGUUGGAUUUGAGUUAGCUAUUAACUCAACCAACUCGCCCAAGUUGCCAUCCAAGUUGCAGCCCCAAGUAAUAUUUUAGGAUAAGUUAUCUUAUCAUAUUUCAUAUAUUAUAUCUUAUAUUUAACAAAAUAGGAUAUUUAACAAAAUAUGCGUUUGGUAUAAAAUAGGUAGUAAGAUACUUUGGUAUAAAAUAGGUAGUAAGAUACUAAGAUAAAAUGUCUUUUUUCUCUUUUUAUUUUUUUUCUUUUAUACAUAUUAAUUUUAAAUAAUACUCUUUAUUUAUUUAUUAUAAUAUCUAAUGGACACUACAAAACGUUGUAUAGAUCACCUAGUAAAAUGAAAAUAUUAAAUCAAAUUAAAAGUGUGUUCAACUAUUAUUUUAGAAAGUAUUUCUAAUUUUUCUAAGAUUUCAGUAUUAAAUAUAUUAGAAGCAUUUCUUAAAAUCAUUGUGAAAUAAACUCUAAUUUAUAUAUUUAAAAAUCACUUUUAUAAAUUUUAAAAUUUAAGUUACUAAAAUUCUUUUGAUGUCUUAAUUUUUUAAAUAAUUUUUAAAACUUUUAUUUAUUUUUAAAUAAAAGGAAAUCUAUUAGUUUUUGGAUCUUCCCAUAUUGUUUACCAUUAACAGCCAUGAGGCGUUACCUCUUUUUUUUUUUUUUUUUAAUCGUGAAGUUCGAUUGACGUGUAAUUCUGCUUAAAAUAAAUUAAGUGUAUGUUUAACAAAAAAUUUUAAAAGUAUUUUUAAUUUAAAAGGUAUUUAAAAAAAAACAUAAGAUGAAAUUACUUAUAAUGUUAUUUGGUGAAACAUUUUAUAGAUAUAUUCUUUUAAAAAAUAUUAAGAAAAUACUUUCAUUUUAAAACAUGGAGAACAUUCUUAAAUGUGCUUUAUUUAAUUUCUAUUUUUUAAAAAAUUAAAAUUUAUUUUUUAAAUAAAAAUAGGAGAAUCCGACAUUUUUAUUAGCUAUAGAAUACUCUUUUUGUAAUAGAAAUGAUAAUAAGAUGAGUUUUUCUUUUGUUUUUCUUUUAUUUUUUAUUUUAUCUAUCCUGCCCUAAUGGAACAUGUUUAAAAUUUAAAUAAAUAAGUUGGAAAUAAGUUUGAGAUUUUUUAAAAAAUAUAUAACAGAUUUGGGUGUUAAGUCCUUAUACUCAUAUUAUGUACAAAAUUAAUUUACUUUAAUUUUAAAUUUUUUAUUUUUAAUAUGUAACAAUAAUAAAAAAUAUUUUUUAAUAUAAUAAAUUAUAAAAAAUUAUAGUAUUUUAAUUAUUUAUAAAAUAUAUUUAUUUUAAUAUAAUAAAAAAAAAGUUAGAUUGAAUGGGCGAGGCAAGAUAAGUAUAAGAAAUUUGCGUACCAUUAAGACUCUCUUCCACAUGCCACGUCUCCAGAACCUUCCCGGUGACACUGCACAACCGUUGGAUCAUACCUGAGGCACGUGUCAGCAGGCAACCCAAGAUCACAUGACCUAUGAAGUUACCAAAUUAUGCUCACCCUCUUCAAUUUUAAAUAUCAUUUAUCGCUUAUUUAAGCCACAAACGCGCCAUCGGCAUCCUCAAUUAAGAAGGAAAGACAACCCAGAGUCAGAUUCUCCAGCCUCAGCUCUCUCUAGAACCGUCGUCUCUCUUCCUUCCCAUCCACUCUAGCACAUUCUCGCUCACAUGGCUCCUGAAAUCAUCUCCGCUUCGGGAAAACCGUCCGGAUUUUUGAAACCGGCUAGUCUUCCGGACAGAGCAUACGUGGCCUUCUUGGCCGGUAACGGGGACUACGUGAAAGGUGUUGUUGGGUUAGCCAAGGGGCUGCGGAAGGUGAAAUCCGAUUACCCGCUUGUGGUGGCGGUGUUACCGGACGUGCCGGUGGAGCACAGCCGAGAACUGGAAUCCCAGGGGUGCAUCGUCAGAGAGAUUGUGCCGGUUUACAAGAACCAGACCCAGUUCGCCAUGGCCUAUUACGUUAUCAAUUAUUCAAAGA